GUAUUAGUUAAGUUCUUGAAACCCAAAGGAUUUGGCGGUAUUUUAGUCUUCUCAGAGGAGCCUGCCACUUAAACGACAGUCCACGAUUUUAUUUACUUGAAUUUGUUUAUCAGUUUGUAUACCUCCGUCAUAAGAGUUUCUUUUUAGGGUAAAUUCUCUUGAUUAUGUUAAUAUUCAUAUGUCAGGUCAAGGUGCAGCUCAUAUUUAAGUGUAGGUGGGCUACAAUAAUUUUAUUUACACGGACAUGUUUCUUUAUAGUUUCAUUUAAGGUGGAUUUGAAGGUAAAUUUUUUGAUUUAAAUUUUUGAUUUUGGCUCUAGAAUAUGCACACAUCGCCCG
rnacentral:rRNA from 1 species